AUUGAACGCUGGCGGCAGGCCUAACACAUGCAAGUCGAACGAGUGGCGGACGGGUGAGUAAUGUCUGGGAAACUGCCCACUGGAGGGGGAUAACUGCUGGAAACGGUCGCUAAUACCGCAUACCAUGGGAUCAGCCCAAGUGGGAUUAGGUAGUUGGUGAGGUAAAGGCUAACCAAUCCGACGAUCUCUCGCUGGUCUGAGAGGAUGACCGGCCACACUGGGACUGAGACACGGCCCAGACCCCUACGGGAGGCAGCAUUGGGGAAUAUUGGGCAAUGGGGGAAAGCCUGACGCAGCAAUGCCGCGUGAAUGAAGAAGGUUUUCGGGUUGUAAAGUUCUGUCGGUAGAGAGGCGUUAACUAAAGAAGAAGCCACGGCUAACUACGUGCCAGCAGCCGCGGUAAUUC
rnacentral:rRNA from 1 species